AGUCUACGUUGGAUAUUUUUUUGCAAUUGCUACAUGACACGUACCAGAAGUUUUGGUGGGUCGAAACAAUUCUCCAUUGGGCUUUUACCCAAUAGAAUUUCUUCUGUAAGAAGACAUGUAUGUUAAAUUGGAUGAUGAGAAGUGUUUUCAUAGUGUUCAGUGUAAUUUAUGAUAAAGAGGCUAUGUAUAGUGUAUAUAUUUUAAAGAUUUAUUUGAGAAAGUACCCCCAGGUAGACUCCUAGUAAGUCUGCAAGUGGCGUAAAUUUGUUUUGAGCUGGAGGUGAAAGCUUUGGAGGCGUCAUUGCAACAAAUGGUUUCUCAGUCAGCUUCUCAAGUACUUCAUUGUUUGUUUUCACCCUGUAGGAAAUUAAGUACAUAGUUAAUUGUAUAUGAUAAUAAAUUUCUCUCCUACAUGUUUCUUGUAUAGAUGGAAGAAGUCUAGAAUUUGGGAGUUAAGAGUGGAAAUCAUUCUCUAUAAUCUACCACUGCUAAUAUUUCAGCAUCAAUGAAAAUAGAACUACUGACUUUAGUGGAAAGUGUGAUACCUACAAAGGAUAUGAAAUAGAAGUGAGAUUAGUUGUUUUUCUGAUGUAACAUUAGAAUAAAGUAAAGGCUAUAUGUUUAUUGAAUUUACCAUUGAAGGAAGAAACUUUAAGAUCAGUGGCCCAUAUCACAGGUCUUUUUGCAAUGUUUUCAGUGAUAGAAAUGCAUUCUUGUUCAACAAAACUAUCCCACAGUGUAAGCAUUACAGUCUGAAAAUUCUUGUCUAUCAAAAUAACAUCUUGAAGACAAGCUUGUGUGCCAAAGUGGGUUUGGAUGAUUCUAUUUUGGCGAAUGCAUAUUGCGACCCCUAUAACACCUGUAACAAAGAAAGAAGGGAUUUGUUUGUUAUGUAAUGUACAUGUGGCUGUAGCUGAACUUGAAGAAAAUAAUUAGUAAGUAUUGAAUGGAAAUAUUGGCUAUAAGGUUAGUAUAUGUUGGGAGCUAUACUUAUGUUCAUGUUCUUGUCCAUGUAUCUUUCUAGUUCGUGAAAUGGAGUAACUUCAUAUGUAGAGAAGAGGAAGUUUAGGUUAUUUUCAUUCACUUCUUCAAUUCUUGUUUUCCCUAUGAUGGACC
rnacentral:lncRNA from 1 species